UACAGAGGUCUCAAGCGUUGUUCGGAUUCAUUGGGCGUAAAGCGCGCGUAGGCGGACCUGCAAGUCGGGGGUGAAAGCCCGAGGCUCAACCUCGGAACUGCCUUCGAUACUGCGGGUCUCGAGUCCGGGAGAGGUGAGUGGAAUUCCUAGUGUAGAGGUGAAAUUCGUAGAUAUUAGGAGAACACCAGUGGCGAAGGCGGCUCACUGGCCCGGUACUGACGCUGAGGCGCGAAAGCGUGGGGAGCA
rnacentral:rRNA from 1 species